rnacentral:tRNA from 1 species
AGCUUUAUAGUCAUUAAAUGAUAUUAGACUGCAAUUCUAAAGGAGUAAUUUAUUUACUAAGGCUU